CCUACGGGAGGCAGCAGUAGGGAAUCUUUCACAAUGGGCGAAAGCCUGACCGAGCAACGCCGCGUGCAGGAAGAAGGCCUUCGGGUUGUAAACUGCUUUUAUAAGCGAGAAAUAUGAUGGUAACUUACUAAUAAGGAUCGGCUAACUACGGGCCAGAAGCCGCGGUCUUACGUAGGAUCCGCGCAUUAUCUGGGGUGACUGUGGGUAAAGAGUUGCGUAGGUGGCAUAAUAAGUAGCUAGUGAAAUCUGGUGGCUCAACCAUUCAGACUAUUAGCUAAACUGUUUAGCUCGAGACCGGUAGGGGUAACUGGAAUUUCUAGUGUAGGAGUGAAAUCCGUAGAUAUUAGAAGGAACACCAGUGGCGAAGGCAGGUUGCUGGGACGGUUCUGACACUAAGGCACGAAAGCGUAGGGAGCAAACGGGAUUAGAUACCCUAGUAGUC
rnacentral:rRNA from 1 species